rnacentral:tRNA from 1 species
GCGGGUAACUUAACUGGUAGAGCUCUUGGCGCGUAACCAAACGAUCCGGGUUUGACUCUCGGUCUGAGCU